GACGAACGCUUGCGGCGUGCCUAAGAAAUGCAAGUCGAACGGGGGCUUCGGCCCUAGUGGCGAACGGUCGCGUAACACGUGGGCAACCUGCCCUGAAGCGGGGGACAACAGUCCGAAAGGACUGCUAAUACCGCAUGUGGCUCCUGGCGGCAUCGCCGGGAUCUAAAGACUUCGGUCACUUCAGGAUGGGCCCGCGGCCUAUCAGCUUGUUGGUGGGGUAACGGCCUACCAAGGCGACGACGGGUAGCUGGUCUGAGAGGACGACCAGCCGGAUUGG
rnacentral:rRNA from 1 species